AUUGAACGCUGGCGGAAUGCUUUACACAUGCAAGUCGAACGGCAGCACGGGUGCUUGUACCUGGUGGCGAGUGGCGAACGGGUGAGUAAUACAUCGGAACGUACCCAGUCAUGGGGGAUAACGUAGCGAAAGUUACGCUAAUACCGCAUACGUCCUGAGGGAGAAAGCGGGGGACCGUAAGGCCUAGCGCGAUCGGAGAGGCCGAUGGCGGAUUAGCUAGUUGGUGGGGUAAAGGGCUACCAAGGCGACGAUCCGUAGCGGGUCUGAGAGGACGGCCCGCCACACUGGAACUGAGACACGGUCCAGACUCCUACGGGAGGCAGCAGUGGGGAAUUUUGGACAAUGGGCGAAAGCCUGAUCCAGCCAUCCCGCGUGAGUGAAGAAGGCCUUCGGGUUGUAAAGCUCUUUCGGCAGGGAAGAAACGGCUUGGGAUAAUACCCCGGGCUAAUGACGGUACCUGAAGAAGAAGCACCGGCUAACUACGUGCCAGCAGCCGCCGCCG
rnacentral:rRNA from 1 species